UAAAGCAAAAAUCGUGAUUAAGAAAUACCUGGAUAAAUGUUCGUUUUUGCCAAGUGUGUAUUAAGCACUCUUGACUGAAUGUUUUGUUUUAAGGAAGUGCUGUGAGACGUUUUUAAGAAACGGAAGCGGAUGUUACAUGCGAUGCUACCAUAGCUAGCUAGCUAACGGUUGAGCGUCGCUAGCAAACUUUAUGAAUACAGGUCGUUUAUUUUAACGUUGAAGAAAAAAAGUAUUAGUGGCUGAGCGUCUUAGUUUUUUUUCAGUGUCACAAAGGCCAGUUUACAUCCCUACAUUUGAGUUUUUCACGAAGGCCACCGAGAUUGGCCACCGUGUCAUGCUAACCUGCAUGUUGUACAUGCUCCAACAUUGUACACAGUCUUUGCUGCUCACAGCAACAAAGUCCUCACUUUGCUCAAAGAUGAGACGGAUGGAGCUACCUGUCGAUCAUAAACGGGGACACAAGGUGUUGGACGAGGUCCUCACGUUGCAGCAAGAUUGGACUGAUGGAGCUACCUGUCGAUCAGAAAUGGGGACACAAGUGUACGAUCUGGAUGUGGAAGGAUGCUGUGCUGUGGAGUUUCUCAGUGUCCUCUGCCCCCCCUCCCUCAAGCAGGACAAUCGUGUCCCUGACCUGGAGGGCCAGGUCCUUCAUUGCUCAAGCCUGAAGGUGGGAGAGUUCGAGGUCAUGGUGAUUGCAGGAUGAUUGGCCAUUUUGAACAUGAUGAACAAAACGUAUCCUGCCUGGAAAAAUUUCCUCUCACAACUUGUGGGAGAACUCCAACCUGAGAGCUGGCAGACUCACGCCCAGAAAACUUUGCAAGCCCCACAGCAGCAGCAGCAGCAGCAGCAGCCGCUGGUGUAAGCACAGGUCACAACCGGAGUUCAGCCCGGACCUCCACCUGCUGCACACAUUGUGUCCUUGAUCCCUGAGCUGCCGCAGUCCCUGGAUUCAACGAAAGCUGGGAAACACAGUUCCGGCUAUGUCUCCUUCCGACUGCCCAUCAUUGUGACCCAAAUCCUGCCUCCAUUAUGCUUUAUCUGAGAUUCUAUCUAGGGACCUGAACACCAGCGUGCAAGUUCUUACACAGAUGGACGAGGUGUUGGACCAGAUCGCAAGUGACGGUCAACAACAUCAGCAGUGCUGCGGCUGCAUGCACCAACACUGAUGACCACCUUGGAAAGACCUCGUGCAGCUCUGCAGCUGUACUGUGGGCUUAUUGCUGGUGAGCAACACAGGGGGGAAGGUUUGCUACAUUAAUUUUCAAAUAAAUUUAUCUCUUACUGUCGUCACCAAAAGAAGAGAAAAAAAACAUGACAACACAUACUGGAAUACAUAUGCACAAACCCAAUAGUAGUCGAAGUAAUAAUGAUAAUAACAACAAUAGCAGCAAUAAUUAAUAA